rnacentral:rRNA from 1 species
AGCUCCAAUAGCGUAUAUUUAAGUUGUUGCAGUUAAAAAGCUCGUAGUUGGAUUUCGGGCGGGCCCGGCCGGUCCGCCUCACGGUGUGCACUGACCGGGCCCGUCCUGCUGCCGGGGACGGGCUCCUGGGCUUCACUGUCCGGGACUCGGAGUCGGCGAGGUUACUUUGAGUAAAUUAGAGUGUUCAAAGCAGGCAUCCGCCUUGAAUACGUUAGCAUGGAAUAACACGAUAGGACUCUGGCCUAUCUUGUUGGUCUGUGGGACCGGAGUAAUGAUUAAGAGGGACAGUCGGGGGCAUUCGUAUUUCAUUGUCAGAGGUGAAAUUCUUGGAUUUAUGAAAGACGAACUACUGCGAAAGCAUUUGCCAAGGAUGUUUUCA